UACGAAGGGGGCUAGCGUUGUUCGGAAUUACUGGGCGUAAAGCGCGCGCAGGCGGCUCGUCAAGCCUGACGUGAAAGCCCCCGGCUCAACCGGGGAGGGUCGUCGGGGACUGGCGGGCUUGAGGUCGGCAGGGGUUGGUGGAAUUCCCGGUGUAGUGGUGAAAUGCGUAGAGAUCGGGAGGAACACCCGUGGCGAAGGCGGCCAACUGGGCCGGUCCUGACGCUGAGGCGCGAAGGCGUGGGGAGCGAACGGG
rnacentral:rRNA from 1 species